UAUAACAAUGCCAACUUUAUUAAAAUUUAGGCAAAAGACCAAUUAAAAUUAAUGAUUGUAUACAGAACACUGCAAAAUUCAGAUCAAACUAUCUAGACUAAUUCACAGAUUUCCAUUUUAACUAUAGCAGCCCAUCUGCCCAAAUCCAAAGGACAUGGUCACAACCCCCCUCCCCCACAGGGAUGGUGAUUGGGUUAAGGGUGUCACUGUGGGAAACUAAUUUGAAAAACAAACCACACCUAUAAAUGCCAAUCAUACUUUGAGUGGGAAAAAAGUUAGACUAUACUGACACAAAAGGGCUUGUACUCUGUACCUUGCAUUUUGUAAAACAGUUUUAUUUCUCAUAACAAGGUAAAACAAGCAAAACCAAAUGGGCCCUUUUCAGAUGUGACCUAACUGUAUAAGGAACAAGACAGUCAUGUGAACCAACCCAACAGAAGAGACAACAGACUGGAGGAAAUCAGUCCCAGGCAUCCAACUCACUGCAAGACCUCAACCAACCAUGCUAAAUGGUCCCAACACGUACUGCUAAGUGUAGGAAAACACUUACUUUACUUCACAAGACCCAAAAGUUAAGAAGCAUUACAACGUGCACUUACUGGCAUUAUUAUAUAUGAAACACUAUUCUGUACUAUAUAACAUGUUCUUGAAGAAUUGUUUGGCAAAAGAUUUUGGCAUAAAGUAUAACAGAGAUCUUACAACAGUAGGACAUAUGAAUGUUUAUGUACAGACAUUUUGUUUUUACUGCAUUAGCUUCAGUUAAUGACAGCAGGCACAUACACCAUCUUUUCAUGCUGGGAUCUAAUAUUUUUGAAUGCUAUAACAUUUUGUCAUGACAAAACAUUAAAAUAUUCACUAAAGAAUAAACUUCAGAAGGGGAAAAUUCUAAAAGAUGCAUACCUUACUUCUGUGUGAAUUAACGAACGCAUAUAAGUAGCACUGCAUACAAACUCUUGUGUCUAAAUAAAAGUUACCAAUAUUUUCUUACCAACUGUUCCAAGGGAAAUGACAACUAUAACACAUUAAAAUAUGCCCCUUUCUAACACAAGUAAUAAUGCUUUAUACUUUUUGACGUGCAGCCUGAAACACCAAUUUGUUUUCUGAUAGUCUUGAAGAAAGGGUCACAGAUUUCUUCAGCCCAGACCUUCAAAGGUAGCACAGACAGCAAGGUCUAUUUUCUAAAGUUGCUUUUUCUUUCUAUGGAAAGAAUUUAAGACUGAAAAGUUUACAACAUUUCUGUUUGGUUAAUUCUGACUGAAUUAUCCGAACCUGCAAUAACUUGCUGAAUAAAAAAGACCUUGUCGGCAGAAAAGAAAAGCAGUACAGAUGCACUACAGUGUGAGGUUUUAGCAUUACUUUCUAACCACUUAAUAUGCCACACUCACUACAGUGUGAGGUUUUAGCAUUACUUUCUAACCACUUAAUACGCCACACUCCACUGUUCUUAGUCCCUGCAGUACUUAAACUGUAACACAACCUGAAAAACGGAUUACUAAGUUAGUCAAUUCGGACAGCUCUCCGGCUACCAGUCAGAACGAGGCAUCUUAAUAUUAAAAGGACUUCUAUAAAACAGGCUGACACCACCACACAAAAGCUGUAAUAGUCAGCAGAAGCAGUCACUGUAACAAGCAAAUUGAUCAAGGAAUGGUGCUUGUGGAACACUUAAUGACUUCUGUAUAUCAGCAAUAGUGCUUCUUUGUUUGAGAGGAAUUAAGGCUUGUCAGAGAACUAAAGGUCAAGUAGUUAUGUUAACAUUUCAACAAGACCCAUAUUAAUAAAUUAUAAUCCCAGAAAAAAAAAAUAAGAUGUAAAGAUUUUCUUAAAAAUCUACUAGAUUCACAGUGCUAACAACUGCAUCUCAUACUUGGGCACACAGCUAAGUAUUUGCUUCUUAAAAUGUAUGAUGCAGUACACAGUAUGCGUGCCAAGGUAUCCUAAAUGCAGUAGCAUGUCGGUCUGGGCACAUAAACGUCAUCUGAAAAAACUUUCACAGCAAAAUUUGAAAGCAACAUGUCAAAUGAAGAAAAUUAUCAGAACACACUACUCAAGGCACUAAGGGCAGCAAACUCACAUCAGUCGCCUGAAGAUGCCUUUAAUGACCUACUUAAAGAAUUUUUUUCAAUAAUUGCCCGGGCCAUUAUAAACACUACAAUUUGCCAAGAAGCUUUGCUUGCCUACCAGUAGGCUGCUUAAAAAUGCAUGUCUUGCUACUGCAUUAUAACACACUGCAUUUUAAGAGGCUGAAAUUUAACAAAGAGAAUUCCAACAAUAAACAAAGCACUGACUUCUAAUGGGUGACCGCAAGUCAAUGAGGCCAGGUGGAGCACUCUGGAAACAGUACCCAUUUUCCUCAUACUCAGACAGAUAGAUGGGCUUAAGGAGAAACUAACAACUUAAGCUUGGUAUGUUUUAACAAUGCAUGAGGCCUCCUCUUUACUUCAUCUUAUUAAAGACAUCUGAUCAAUUAAGUACUAAAAAUAAAAUACAGGGCUUUUAACCUCUCCAAGCAUUGGUGCCCAAAAGUGGAUCACUCACAGAAAGGCUUCACACAGUUGUUCCUAAUAUUCAUUACAGUAUUACACAUGAUACAGUUACAUCUUAGCAGCUUCCAAUGCAGAACCACUUCUACGCCCACAUAAAAUUAUUGUAACCCAAAGCUGCAAAAGUCCAAAACAGCAAAUCUCUUCACAAAACUUGAUACAACUUUUCCGAUGAUUGUCUUUUUUUUUUUUUGAAGUGCAGAAAUUGGUCAGGAGAAGACAAAUUACAUAUUAUGAAAUAAAGCAUAAUAUAAUAAAAUACAAUACAAAAACACACUUUCCAGACACUACUUCCCCAUGUCAGCAAAGGCAGAUUUUUUUUUUAAACUCAGGAGGAAGCUAUAAGCAAAGAAAA